rnacentral:ncRNA from 1 species
UGCUUCUUCUGAGCCUCAGCCCGAACGGCAUCGAAGUAACGACUGGAUAAAACAAGCUUCUUAUCCGAAACUCACG